AUGGUAAGCUGGUUGCUCUUGGGUAGAGAACAAUCUGGAAAUAUUGUAUUACAUCCAGACAGGGAGAUGAAAAGUAAGAUACAUUCUUGCGGUUGGCCUCGAUAUUGCAUUAUCUUGUGUCACAUGAUGUAUUCCAUACUAUUUACAUCUACAGGAACAAGAGCUCUGUCAGUGUGCAGAAAUGAGAAAAAAAGUAGAGAUGGAGAGGUGAGGAGAGAAGAGGAAGUGACUGAUCCAUUCUCAUCCAUCACAGAGACACGUUCCUGCCGUUCAGUCUGCUGCGUUGUCACCUAGCGUGUUUACUUUCCAAGCAUAAGACUAUUAUAAAUGAGACCCACACACCCACCUACCGAUGUUAAGCAAAGAGAUUGUCAAUGUGUGCUGGAUUAAACGAGAGAAGGCUAUCAAUAAUAUGUGCUCAGUACAGAUGCAUGUUAGGACCUUUCUCUCAUGUCAUGUUUCAAUCCUUCAGCGACAGUGGGUCAAUGCGGCCCCCUCCACAGAUAACUGCUGUUACUGAUGGGCUUCUCUGAUUGAAUUUUAUACUACAGUUAGGUCCGGCCACGCAGCGUGAUUGGCUGACAAUAAUUUUUUGAAAUAACAGCUUGUCAUCUGUAACCGUGUCAUUCUGCUGACCUGGGCUUCCAAUUGCUAAGGGACAGAAACAUCCCCUCACAUUUUAAAGUGUAUGUAGUAUCUGUUUGACCAGCAUCACCACUCAUAUUAUGGUGGUUGUUGUGUCUUAGAUAAGAAAAAAAUCAUGGAAUAUGAAAGAUGUCAUCAUUUAUUGUAUUUUGUGCCAAAGCAAUGGAAAUGAUCCACAGUUUAGCCCACACAGACUACUGUUGUGCUCACAGUGUGGAGAGUUUUGAAGUGAUCAAAGUACGGCCCAUUUCUCUUUAUUGUAAAAAAAAAGCUGUAUAACAGGGCAGUGUUUUGAUAGAAUAAAAUUUUACACUGUGGUUGUUGUACACUGUUAUUAUACACUGUGGCGCUGUUUUUGUGUUAAUAUUGUCUAGACAUUAAAGGGCCCAUAUUGUCAAAACUGAAGUUGCCUGGCUUUUUUCACGGUAACUGAGGUCUAGGGGCUAUUUAACUACCAUAUAAGUUUCAAAACAGUCAGUCCACAAUAAAAUACACACAGCCUGCAUAAAGUAGCUGUGAUUUUUCACAAACCUUCUUCAGUCUGUCUUCAGUCACCACCCCGACCACCGCCCCCCGUCCCAUGCCCCACUCUACUUCUGUCAAGCCCCCAGACAACAUUGCAUCCAUGCCAUUGCCAUUGCCGAGCACUGAGCAACAACAACACUGAAACAUGUCGAAAAUGUUAACUUUAACCACGAAACCAGAUCAGCCGACCUGUAACGUUAUACUCUCACUCAAAGGAUGGACGAUCUGACAGGAUUGUUACUAUAAGUUGGAUCUCAUCUAACGUGUAUAGUAAAGACAAACAGCUGUCAUCGUUUUUAUUAUUAUUAUAAUAAUUUUUUUUAUUUUUUAUUUUUUGUCUGGCAGUGGCAGCAG
ensembl:lncRNA